CAGUGGUGACAAGAAGUACAUUCGGAAUUACAUGCCAGUCUACAAUGACUGAAUUUAUUCUGAGCGAAAGUCCCUGGGUCAUUGAACUGAAAGAGUUGCAACGUAAGUGUUGAUACGCGGCUUUAGAAUUCAUUUCACAGAUGUGUUGUGUCAUGAAGCACAUCCGUGUGGAGCAUUCAUGUCUGGCGCCGUUGUCACCGAAAGCAAAGUGACGUACAAAUCUAACAGCAUAGGGCUCACUCUGUCGACCACU
rnacentral:RNase_MRP_RNA from 1 species